UACGGGGGGGGCAAGCGUUUUUCGGAAUUACUGGGCGUAAAGGGCGCGUAGGCGGGUGGACAAGACUCUCGUGAAAGCCCACGGCUCAACCGUGGAAUUGCGGGAGAUACUGUCUGUCUUGAGUCCGGGAGAGGAGGGUGGAAUUCCCAGUGUAGCGGUUGAAUGCGUAGAUAUUGGGAGGAACACCGGUGGCGAAGGCGGCUCUCUGGACCGGUACUGACGCUGAGGCGCGAAAGCUAGGGGAGCAAACGGG
rnacentral:rRNA from 1 species